CANCGGCGGCUCGAGUGGUAACCGUUAUUAUUGGGUCUAAAGGGUCUGUAGCCGGCCGGAUAAGUCUCUUGAGAAAUCUGGCAGCUUAACUGUCAGGCUUUCAGGAGAUACUGUCUGGCUCGAGGCCGGGAGAGGUGAGAGGUACUUCAGGGGUAGGGGUGAAAUCUUGUAAUCCUUGAAGGACCACCAGUGGCGAAGGCGUCUCACCAGAACGGACCUGACGGCAAGGGACGAAAGCUAGGGGCACGAACCGG
rnacentral:rRNA from 1 species